GAUGAACGCUGGCGGCGUGCCUAAUACAUGCAAGUCGAGCGAACAGAUGAGGAGCUUGCUCCUCUGACGUUAGCGGCGGACGGGUGAGUAACACGUGGAUCACCUACCUAUAAGACUGGGAUAACUUCGGGAAACCGGAGCUAAUACCGGAUAAUAUAUUGAACCGCAUGGUUCAAUAGUGAAAGACGGUUUUGCUGUCACUUCUAGAUGGAUCCGCGCCGCAUUAGCUAGUUGGUAAGGUAACGGCUUACCAAGGCAACGAUGCGUAGCCGACCUGAGAGAGUGAUCGGCCGCACGGGAGCUGAGACAGCGUCCAGACUCCUACGGGAGGCAGCAGUAGGGAAUCGUCCGCAAUAGGCGAGAGCAUGACGGAGCAACGGCGCGUGAGUGGUGAAGGUCUUCGGAGCGUAAAACUCUGUUAUGAGGGAAGAACAGAUGUGUAAGGAACUAUGCACGUCGUGACGGUACCGAAUCAGAAAGCAACGGCUAACUACGUG
rnacentral:rRNA from 1 species